rnacentral:tRNA from 1 species
CGGGAUAGCUCACCUGGAAAAGCAAAGGACUGAAAAUCCUCGUGUC